CCUACGGGAGGCAGCAGUGGGGGAUAUUGGACAAUGGGGGAAAGCCUGAUCCAGCGAUGCCGCGUGCGGGAAGAAGGUUUUCGGAUUGUAAACCGCUGUGGUGGGGGACGAUAAUGACGGUAACCUUUUAGUAAGCCACGGCUAACUACGUGCCAGCAGCCGCGGUAAUACGUAGGUGGCGAGCGUUGUCCGGAGUUACUGGGUGUAAAGGGAGUGUUGGCGGGAAGGGAAGUGAGAGGUGAAAACUAUGGGCUUAACCCAUAGCCUGUUUUUGAAACUGUUUUACUUGAGAGAAUUAGAGGCAAGCGGAAUUCCUAGUGUAGCGGUGAAAUGCGUAGAUAUUAGAAGGAACACCAAUGGCGUAGGCAGGUUGCUGGGCCGUUUCUGACGCUGAGGCUCGAAAGCGUAGGGAGCAAACAGGAUUAGAUACCCGAGUAGUC
rnacentral:rRNA from 1 species